UACGUAGGGUGCAAGCGUUGUCCGGAAUUAUUGGGCGUAAAGAGCUCGUAGGCGGUCUGUUGCGUCGGCUGUGAAAACCCGAGGCUCAACCUCGGGCCUGCAGCCGAUACGGGCAGACUAGAGUUCGGCAGGGGAGACUGGAAUUCCUGGUGUAGCGGUGAAAUGCGCAGAUAUCAGGAGGAACACCGGUGGCGAAGGCGGGUCUCUGGGCCGAUACUGACGCUGAGGAGCGAAAGCAUGGGGAGCGAACAGG
rnacentral:rRNA from 1 species